CCUACGGGAGGCAGCAGUGGGGAAUAUUGCACAAUGGGGGAAACCCUGAUGCAGCAACGCCGCGUGAGUGAUGACGGACUUCGGGUUGUAAAGCUCUAUCUUCAGGGACGAUAAUGACGGUACCUGAGGAGGAAGCCACGGCUAACUACGUGCCAGCAGCCGCGGUAAUACGUAGGUGGCGAGCGUUGUCCGGAUUUACUGGGCGUAAAGGGAGCGUAGGCGGUUCUUGAAGUGAGAUGUGAAAUCCCCGGGCUCAACUUCGGUGCUGCAUUUGAAACUGUAAGGCUAGAGUGCAGGAGAGGAGAAUGGAAUUCCUAGUGUAGCGGUGAAAUGCGUAGAGAUUAGGAAGAACACCAGUGGCGAAGGCGAUUCGCUGGACUGUAACUGACGUUGAGGCUCGAAAGCGUGGGGAGCAAACAGGAUUAGAUACCCCAGUAGUC
rnacentral:rRNA from 1 species